rnacentral:misc_RNA from 1 species
CUCAACCCUCGAGGUCUCCCUUGAACGGUUGGAUUUGGGCGUCUGCCAUUAACCCUGGCUCGCCUUAAAUGCGUUAGUGGGACCGUCGGUCUCAUGUCUGGCGUAAUAAGUUUCGCUGGUACUGGAGCGGUGGGCCUGCUCACAACCCCCCAUAUCUCGACUCUGACCUCAAAUCAGGUAGGACUACCCGCUGAACUUAA